AGCGAACGCUGGCGGCAGGCCUAACACAUGCAAGUCGAGCGCCCAGCAAUGGGAGCGGCAGACGGGUGAGUAACGCGUGGGGAUGUACCCAAUGGUACGGAAUAACCCAGGGAAACUUGGAUUAAUACCGUAUGAGCCCUUCGGGGGAAAGAUUUAUCGCCAUUGGAUCAACCCGCGUCGGAUUAGCUAGUUGGUGAGGUAAAGGCUCACCAAGGCGACGAUCCGUAGCUGGUCUGAGAGGAUGAUCAGCCACACUGGGACUGAGACACGGCCCAGACUCCUACGGGAGGCAGCAGUGGGGAAUAUUGGACAAUGGGCGCAAGCCUGAUCCAGCCAUGCCGCGUGAGUGAUGAAGGCCUUAGGGUUGUAAAGCUCUUUCGCCGGUGAAGAUAAUGACGGUAACCGGAGAAGAAGCCCCGGCUAACUUCGUGCCAGCCGCCGCUGUAAUAC
rnacentral:rRNA from 1 species